rnacentral:lncRNA from 1 species
AUAAAAAAAAAAAAAAGACAUUGAGAUUAUCUAUAAAUAGAACAUAAAUGUUUCAAUUCUAUAUCUAAACAUGAUAUACAAAUUUAGAAUAGAUUAAUUAGAUGAACUUUCAAAAAAUCCUAUGCUUCAGUAUAUUAUUCAUUAAAUUCCCCUAUAUCUUGAUAAAAUCGUUUUUAGUCCUUUCAUUCGCGAGGAGCUGGAUGAGAAGAAACUCUCAUGUCCAGUUCUGUAGUAGAGAUGGCAUUGAGAAAGAACCAUCAAUUAUAACCCCAAAAGAACAAGAUUCCGUAAACAACAUAGAGGAAGAAUGAAAGGGAUAUCUUAUCGAGGUAAUCAUAUUUGUUUCGGCAGAUAUGCUCUUCAAGCACUUGAACCCGCUUGGAUCACAUCUAGACAAAUCGAAGCGGGGCGCCGCGCAAUGACACGAAAUGUACGGCGCGGUGGAAAAAUAUGGGUACGUAUCUUUCCAGACAAACCCGUUACACUAAGACCCACGGAAACCCGUAUGGGGUCCGGUAAAGGAUCCCCCGAAUAUUGGGUAGCCGUCGUUAAACCGGGUAGAAUACUUUAUGAAAUGAGUGGAGUAGCUGAAAAUAUAGCUCGAAAGGCUAUUUCAAUAGCGGCGUCCAAAAUGCCUAUAAGAACUCAAUUCAUUAUUUCGGGAUAGGAAUGUCGAAACAAAGGAAAUAAAUCUUGGGUAUAAAAAAUGCGGGUCUUCCCUUUUUUUUUUUACUUCGUCCUUUCAGUGCUUUACUUUAAAUUAAACAUUAAAAAAACGGACUCAAAAAACGAUAUGAUUCAACCUCAAACCCAUUUGAAUGUAGCAGACAAUAGCGGUGCCCGAGAAUUGAUGUGUAUUCGAAUCAUAGGAGCCAGUAAUCGUAGAUAUGCUCAUAUUGGUGACGUUAUUGUUGCUGUGAUCAAGGAAGCAGUACCCAAUACGCCUCUAGAAAGAUCAGAAGUGAUCAGAGCUGUAAUUGUACGUACUUGUAAAGAACUCAGACGUGAUAACGGUAUGAUAAUACGGUACGAUGACAAUGCUGCAGUUGUCAUUGAUCACGAAGGAAAUCCAAAGGGAACUCGAGUUUUUGGUGCGAUCGCCCGGGAAUUGAGACAGUUGAAUUUUACUAAAAUAGUUUCAUUAGCACCUGAAGUAUUAUAAGAGGGGACCGCGAUAUAGUGAUAGUAUGAAAAUAAAAUAGAUAAAUCAAAAUUUAGUAGAGUAUGUCUCACGCAUAUACUUUUAAUAAUUUUCAUAAAAAAAAGAACAUGUUGAUUAUAUCAAAAUUUGGAAGCAACAAAAUUUUCAGUUUAUCAUGGGCAAGGACACUAUUGCUGACAUAAUAACUUCUAUACGAAAUGCUGACAUGAAUAGAAAGGGAACGGUUCGAAUAGCAUCUACUAACAUCACCGAAAACGUUGUUAAAAUCCUUUUGCGAGAGGGUUUUAUCGAAAACGCAAGGAAACUCGUGGAAAACAAAAACAAAAAAGAGUUUUUGGUUUUAACCCUACGACAUCGAAGGAAUAGGAAAGGGCCGUAUAGACCCAUUUUAAAUUUAAAACGAAUCAGUCGACCCGGUCUACGAAUCUAUUUUAACUAUCGACGAAUUCCUAGAAUUUUAGAUGGGAUGGGGAUUGUAAUUCUCUCUACUUCUCGGGGUAUAAUGACAGACCGAGCGGCUCGACUGGAAAGAAUCGGUGGAGAAAUUUUGUGUUAUAUAUGGUAAUUAUUCUGCUAUCCGAAUUGUAUUUGGAGCUUACUUUUAUGUUGUGAGAAAAAAAAAGGGAGGAUUCCUCGAGGUUUAAUUACCGAAUAACUUACCAAAGGUAUGCUCCGGGUUCUUUUAGAUAGUUUAGAGAGCGAAGUAAGAUUCUAGAUUAUGUUUCAGGAGGGAUGCGACCCGUUUUUCUACAUCUACUCCCGGUGGCUAGAGGCAAAAUUGAAGGAAGUCGUUAUGAUUCAGAUUCAACUGGAGGAUAUAAUAAUAAUAUAUAGACUACACAAAAGGAUUUGAGUGAUUAGGUGAUUUUUCAACAUUCCUUUCAGGGGGAUACAAAUCGCGGUUCAAAAAUUUCAAGAAACUUAUUUUCUUCCAACUUCCAAUAAGGAGAUUCGAAAUUCAUUUAAGGAAUAACAAUUAUGAAAAUAAGGGCUUCAGUUCGUAAAAUUUGUGAAAAAUGUCGACUGAUCCGCAGGAGGGGACGGAUUAUAGUAAUUUGUUCCAACCCGAGACAUAAACAAAGACAAGGAUAAUCUUUCGAAAAGUUUAGAAAGUAACCGAUGAACAAAUCAACAUAAAAGAUCGGUUUUGACAUGAAAUGGAUAUAUCCAUAUAUCUCUGACUUAUAUUUAUGAAAUGAUCAAAUAUGGCAAAAUCUCCACCACGAAGUGGUUCACGUAGGCCGGGACGGAUCGGUUCACGUAAAAGUGGACGUCGAAUACCAAAGGGCGUUAUUCAUGUUCAAGCAAGUUUCAACAACACCAUUGUGACUGUUACAGAUGUCCGGGGUCGGGUAAUUUCUUGGUCCUCGGCCGGUACUUGUGGAUUCAGGGGUACAAGAAGAGGUACGCCUUUUGCUGCUCAAACCGCAGCAGGAAAUGCUAUUCGAGCAGUAGCGGAUCAAGGUAUGCAACGAGCAGAAGUCAUGAUAAAGGGUCCUGGUCUCGGAAGAGAUGCGGCAUUACGAGCUAUUCGUAGAAGCGGUAUCCUUUUAAAUUUCGUACGGGAUGUAACCCCUAUGCCACACAAUGGUUGCAGACCCCCUAAAAAAAGACGGGUGUAGAAAUAAACAUUGAAGAGAUUUCAAGAGAAAUAAAUGACUCAAUGAUCUGACAAAUAAUAUUACUAUGGUUCGAGAGAAAGUAAAAGUAUCUACUCGGACACUACAGUGGAAGUGUGUUGAAUCAAGAGCAGACAGUAAGCGUCUUUAUUAUGGGCGCUUUAUUUUGUCUCCACUUAUGAAAGGUCAAGCCGACACAAUAGGCAUUGCGAUGCGAAGAGUUUUGCUUGGAGAAAUAGAAGGAACAUGUAUUACACGCGCAAAAUCUGAAAAAAUUCCACACGAAUAUUCUACCAUAGUGGGUAUUCAAGAAUCGGUACAUGAAAUUUUAAUGAAUUUGAAAGAUAUUGUAUUGAGAAGUAAUCUUUAUGGAACUUGUGACGCGCUUAUUUGUGUCAAAGGCCCGGGAUAUGUAACUGCUCAAGACAUCCUCUUGCCGCCUUCUGUGGAAAUCGUUGAUAAUACGCAGCACAUAGCUAGCCUAACAGAACCAAUUGAUUUGUCUAUUGGAUUACAAAUCGAGAGGAGUCGAGGAUAUAAUAUAAAAACGCCAAAUACCUUUCAAGACGGAAAUUGUUAUCCUAUCGAUGCUGUAUUCAUGCCUGUUCGAAAUGCGAAUCAUAGUAUUCAGUCUUAUGGGAAUGGCAAUGAAAAACAAGAGAUCCUUUUUCUAGAAAUAUGGACAAACGGAAGUUUAACUCCUAAAGAAGCACUUCAUGAAGCCUCCCGGAGUUUGAUUGAUUUAUUUAUUCCCUUUCUCCAGGCAGAAGACGAAAACUUACCUUUAGAGAACAAUCAAUACAAGGUUACUUUACCCUUUUUUACUUUUCAUGAUAGAUUGGCUAAACUAACGAAAAAGAAAAAAGAAAUCGCAUUGAAAUCGAUUUUUAUUGACCAAUCAGAAAUGUCUCCCAGGAUCUAUAAUUGUCUCAAAAAGUCCAAUAUACAUACAUUAUUCGACCUUUUGAAUACGCGUCAAGAAGACCUUAUGAAAAUUGAACACUUUCGCAUAGAGGAUGUAAAGCAGAUAAUGAGUAUUCUAGAAAAGAAAUAGAAAAGCAUUUCACAAUUGAUUUACCGAAAAAAAAAAAAACGAGAAAAUUGAAAUGGCUUUGCACCUUUAGACCCGUCUAUAUAUUCAGACCGGAAUUAAAUUGAAUAGAAGUAUCUAGGGAGAAUUCACUUUUACUUUGAAGUGACUACUCCCUAGAUACACACGUCAUGAUAUUUUACAAUUGAAUCAAUUUAAAAAAGACCUAAAGUUAGGGAUUUUUCAAUAGGUAAUGUUGCUCCAAUACCCAAGCACAAGGCCACUGCGGUCCCAAUCAAAAAGACGGUUGUCGCUACGGGACGGCGAAAUGGAUUUUGGAAUUUAUUAACAUUUUCCAAAAAAGGUACUGUUAAUAAUCCCGUAGGUACUGAAACCAUUAAAAGAACACCCAACAGCUUAUUGGGUACUGUACGAAGUAUUUGAAAUACGGGAAAGAAAUACCAUUCGGGUAAGAUUUCCAAAGGAGUUGCAAAUGGAUCCGCGGGUUCACCAAUCAUUGAUGGUUCUAGAACCGCUAAGCCUACGGUACAUGCAAUAGUACCUAGAAUUACUACUGGAAAAAUAUAUAAAAGAUCGUUGGGCCAUGCGGGUUCUCCAUAAUAAUUAUGACCCAUACCCUUAGCCAACUUAGCCCUUAAUACAGGAUCAUUCAAGUCAGGUUUUUUUGUUAUUGGGAUAGGCGAAUUCUUAUAGAUCCAUCCCCCCAAAGAACCGGACAUGAUAAUUUUUCAUCAUCCGGCUCGAGCAAGAAUCAACCAAACUAAAAGGAUACAUAUAAAAAAAGAAAUAGAUAAAAAAAGAAAUAUAGAUUUUCGAAAAUCUAUAUUUUACGCAUAUCGGGAUGAUUCUAUAUGUAAAAUUACCGGAUUCCGUUUUACGAAGUUUCAACUAUCAAUUGCAAGGAAUUCGGUUCUUACAGGUGUAUGCUCCAUACCCAAGUAGGCUUACAAAAUUGAUCAUGAUCAAGAGCUUUCUGGGUCGUCUCAGCCCUUGUGAUUCACCCUUAUCCAAAAACAAAAAAAAAAAAAGAUCGAGCUGAGAUUUUUCUUUUUCGCGUACAAAGGAUUUACUUGUUACUAAUAUAGUCUAGCCGCUGCUCUUCUUUAGACCCCUUGUUUCACUCCGAUAGUAUCAUAAAUCGGGAUCGGUGCAGAAGAAAUGAAUGCAUUUCCAUACUAUUAAGUAAGUAAUCUAGAAUCUAGCGAAAACAUAAUCUAGAUUAUGCCACAUCGCUUAUUCUACUGGAUCUUACGGAGCCUGCUCAUGCGCGGCAUGCUUGGGCUGAUCAUAGAAAAGAUUCUUUUCAAUCGAACCAACCUAUCCUCUCUAUGGGGUGCCGGUUGGAACAAAGACACAUUUGGUCGCGAAUUCCAAUGUAGCAGAUUAAAGACAUAUUUCUGCACGGCCCAAUCAAUAGUUCAAGUCACACACUCCAUAAUCCAUUUUCUCUUCGGAGAAUUCCCGUCAACUAUUCAUUUCAUUCAUGUCAAAUAAAAAGUCCAAUAUUAUGGAGUUGAGGGGAAAUUUCCAACUCCAUGUCUUAUUCUUUGUCAAUAAUCCAUAUUUGUAGCAAUGAAAUAUUAAUUGUUCCUCCCCAAGCAAUAAAUAAGAUUACUAAAUUGCGCUAUUGUAAUUAAGAUACCAAUAUUGGCAUCAAUAGAUUUGUAAUCAACCCUUUAUCUUAUUGCUUGGGGAGGAACAAUAAUAUUUCAUUGCUACAAAUAUGGAUUAUUGACAAAGAAUAAGACAUGGAGUUGGAAAUUUCCCUCAACUCCAUAAUAUUGGACUUUUUAUUUGACAUGAAUGAAAUGAAUAGUUGACGGGAAUUCUCCGAAGAGAAAAUGGAUUAUGGGAGUGUGUGACUUGAACUAUUGAUUGGGCCGUGCAGAAAUAUGUCUUUAAUCUGCUACAUUGGAAUUCGCGACCAAAUGUGUCUUUGUUCCAACCGGCACCCCAUAGAGAGGAUAGGUUGGUUCGAUUGAAAAGAAUCUUUUCUAUGAUCAGCCCCAAGCAUGCCGCGCAUGAGCAGGCUCCGUAAGAUCCAGUAGAAUAAGCGAUGUGGCAUAAUCUAGAUUAUGUUUUCGCUAGAUUCUAGAUUACUUACUUAAUAGUAUGGAAAUGCAUUCAUUUCUUCUGCACCGAUCCCGAUUUAUGAUACUAUCGGAGUGAAACAAGGGUCUAAAGAAGAGCAGCGGCUAGACUAUAUUAGUAACAAGUAAAUCCUUUGUACGCGAAAAAGAAAAAUCUCAGCUCGAUCUUUUUUUUUUUUUGUUUUUGGAUAAGGGUGAAUCACAAGGGCUGAGACGACCCAGAAAGCUCUUGAUCAUGAUCAAUUUUGUAAGCCUACUUGGGUAUGGAGCAUACACCUGUAAGAACCGAAUUCCUUGCAAUUGAUAGUUGAAACUUCGUAAAACGGAAUCCGGUAAUUUUACAUAUAGAAUCAUCCCGAUAUGCGUAAAAUAUAGAUUUUCGAAAAUCUAUAUUUCUUUUUUUAUCUAUUUCUUUUUUUAUAUGUAUCCUUUUAGUUUGGUUGAUUCUUGCUCGAGCCGGAUGAUGAAAAAUUAUCAUGUCCGGUUCUUUGGGGGGAUGGAUCUAUAAGAAUUCGCCUAUCCCAAUAACAAAAAAACCUGACUUGAAUGAUCCUGUAUUAAGGGCUAAGUUGGCUAAGGGUAUGGGUCAUAAUUAUUAUGGAGAACCCGCAUGGCCCAACGAUCUUUUAUAUAUUUUUCCAGUAGUAAUUCUAGGUACUAUUGCAUGUACCGUAGGCUUAGCGGUUCUAGAACCAUCAAUGAUUGGUGAACCCGCGGAUCCAUUUGCAACUCCUUUGGAAAUCUUACCCGAAUGGUAUUUCUUUCCCGUAUUUCAAAUACUUCGUACAGUACCCAAUAAGCUGUUGGGUGUUCUUUUAAUGGUUUCAGUACCUACGGGAUUAUUAACAGUACCUUUUUUGGAAAAUGUUAAUAAAUUCCAAAAUCCAUUUCGCCGUCCCGUAGCGACAACCGUCUUUUUGAUUGGGACCGCAGUGGCCUUGUGCUUGGGUAUUGGAGCAACAUUACCUAUUGAAAAAUCCCUAACUUUAGGUCUUUUUUAAAUUGAUUCAAUUGUAAAAUAUCAUGACGUGUGUAUCUAGGGAGUAGUCACUUCAAAGUAAAAGUGAAUUCUCCCUAGAUACUUCUAUUCAAUUUAAUUCCGGUCUGAAUAUAUAGACGGGUCUAAAGGUGCAAAGCCAUUUCAAUUUUCUCGUUUUUUUUUUUUUCGGUAAAUCAAUUGUGAAAUGCUUUUCUAUUUCUUUUCUAGAAUACUCAUUAUCUGCUUUACAUCCUCUAUGCGAAAGUGUUCAAUUUUCAUAAGGUCUUCUUGACGCGUAUUCAAAAGGUCGAAUAAUGUAUGUAUAUUGGACUUUUUGAGACAAUUAUAGAUCCUGGGAGACAUUUCUGAUUGGUCAAUAAAAAUCGAUUUCAAUGCGAUUUCUUUUUUCUUUUUCGUUAGUUUAGCCAAUCUAUCAUGAAAAGUAAAAAAGGGUAAAGUAACCUUGUAUUGAUUGUUCUCUAAAGGUAAGUUUUCGUCUUCUGCCUGGAGAAAGGGAAUAAAUAAAUCAAUCAAACUCCGGGAGGCUUCAUGAAGUGCUUCUUUAGGAGUUAAACUUCCGUUUGUCCAUAUUUCUAGAAAAAGGAUCUCUUGUUUUUCAUUGCCAUUCCCAUAAGACUGAAUACUAUGAUUCGCAUUUCGAACAGGCAUGAAUACAGCAUCGAUAGGAUAACAAUUUCCGUCUUGAAAGGUAUUUGGCGUUUUUAUAUUAUAUCCUCGACUCCUCUCGAUUUGUAAUCCAAUAGACAAAUCAAUUGGUUCUGUUAGGCUAGCUAUGUGCUGCGUAUUAUCAACGAUUUCCACAGAAGGCGGCAAGAGGAUGUCUUGAGCAGUUACAUAUCCCGGGCCUUUGACACAAAUAAGCGCGUCACAAGUUCCAUAAAGAUUACUUCUCAAUACAAUAUCUUUCAAAUUCAUUAAAAAUUUCAUGUACCGAUUCUUGAAUACCCACUAUGGUAGAAUAUUCGUGUGGAAUUUUUUCAGAUUUUGCGCGUGUAAUACAUGUUCCUUCUAUUUCUCCAAGCAAAACUCUUCGCAUCGCAAUGCCUAUUGUGUCGGCUUGACCUUUCAUAAGUGGAGACAAAAUAAAGCGCCAUAAUAAAGACGCUUACUGUCUGCUCUUGAUUCAACACACUUCCACUGUAGUGUCCGAGUAGAUACUUUUACUUUCUCUCGAACCAUAGUAAUAUUAUUUGUCAGAUCAUUGAGUCAUUUAUUUCUCUUGAAAUCUCUUCAAUGUUUAUUUCUACACCCGUCUUUUUUUAGGGGGUCUGCAACCAUUGUGUGGCAUAGGGGUUACAUCCCGUACGAAAUUUAAAAGGAUACCGCUUCUACGAAUAGCUCGUAAUGCCGCAUCUCUUCCGAGACCAGGACCCUUUAUCAUGACUUCUGCUCGUUGCAUACCUUGAUCCGCUACUGCUCGAAUAGCAUUUCCUGCUGCGGUUUGAGCAGCAAAAGGCGUACCUCUUCUUGUACCCCUGAAUCCACAAGUACCGGCCGAGGACCAAGAAAUUACCCGACCCCGGACAUCUGUAACAGUCACAAUGGUGUUGUUGAAACUUGCUUGAACAUGAAUAACGCCCUUUGGUAUUCGACGUCCACUUUUACGUGAACCGAUCCGUCCCGGCCUACGUGAACCACUUCGUGGUGGAGAUUUUGCCAUAUUUGAUCAUUUCAUAAAUAUAAGUCAGAGAUAUAUGGAUAUAUCCAUUUCAUGUCAAAACCGAUCUUUUAUGUUGAUUUGUUCAUCGGUUACUUUCUAAACUUUUCGAAAGAUUAUCCUUGUCUUUGUUUAUGUCUCGGGUUGGAACAAAUUACUAUAAUCCGUCCCCUCCUGCGGAUCAGUCGACAUUUUUUCACAAAUUUUACGAACUGAAGCCCUUAUUUUCAUAAUUGUUAUUCCUUAAAUGAAUUUCGAAUCUCCUUAUUGGAAGUUGGAAGAAAAUAAGUUUCUUGAAAUUUUUGAACCGCGAUUUGUAUCCCCCUGAAAGGAAUGUUGAAAAAUCACCUAAUCACUCAAAUCCUUUUGUGUAGUCUAUAUAUUAUUAUUAUAUCCUCCAGUUGAAUCUGAAUCAUAACGACUUCCUUCAAUUUUGCCUCUAGCCACCGGGAGUAGAUGUAGAAAAACGGGUCGCAUCCCUCCUGAAACAUAAUCUAGAAUCUUACUUCGCUCUCUAAACUAUCUAAAAGAACCCGGAGCAUACCUUUGGUAAGUUAUUCGGUAAUUAAACCUCGAGGAAUCCUCCCUUUUUUUUUCUCACAACAUAAAAGUAAGCUCCAAAUACAAUUCGGAUAGCAGAAUAAUUACCAUAUAUAACACAAAAUUUCUCCACCGAUUCUUUCCAGUCGAGCCGCUCGGUCUGUCAUUAUACCCCGAGAAGUAGAGAGAAUUACAAUCCCCAUCCCAUCUAAAAUUCUAGGAAUUCGUCGAUAGUUAAAAUAGAUUCGUAGACCGGGUCGACUGAUUCGUUUUAAAUUUAAAAUGGGUCUAUACGGCCCUUUCCUAUUCCUUCGAUGUCGUAGGGUUAAAACCAAAAACUCUUUUUUGUUUUUGUUUUCCACGAGUUUCCUUGCGUUUUCGAUAAAACCCUCUCGCAAAAGGAUUUUAACAACGUUUUCGGUGAUGUUAGUAGAUGCUAUUCGAACCGUUCCCUUUCUAUUCAUGUCAGCAUUUCGUAUAGAAGUUAUUAUGUCAGCAAUAGUGUCCUUGCCCAUGAUAAACUGAAAAUUUUGUUGCUUCCAAAUUUUGAUAUAAUCAACAUGUUCUUUUUUUUAUGAAAAUUAUUAAAAGUAUAUGCGUGAGACAUACUCUACUAAAUUUUGAUUUAUCUAUUUUAUUUUCAUACUAUCACUAUAUCGCGGUCCCCUCUUAUAAUACUUCAGGUGCUAAUGAAACUAUUUUAGUAAAAUUCAACUGUCUCAAUUCCCGGGCGAUCGCACCAAAAACUCGAGUUCCCUUUGGAUUUCCUUCGUGAUCAAUGACAACUGCAGCAUUGUCAUCGUACCGUAUUAUCAUACCGUUAUCACGUCUGAGUUCUUUACAAGUACGUACAAUUACAGCUCUGAUCACUUCUGAUCUUUCUAGAGGCGUAUUGGGUACUGCUUCCUUGAUCACAGCAACAAUAACGUCACCAAUAUGAGCAUAUCUACGAUUACUGGCUCCUAUGAUUCGAAUACACAUCAAUUCUCGGGCACCGCUAUUGUCUGCUACAUUCAAAUGGGUUUGAGGUUGAAUCAUAUCGUUUUUUGAGUCCGUUUUUUUAAUGUUUAAUUUAAAGUAAAGCACUGAAAGGACGAAGUAAAAAAAAAAAGGGAAGACCCGCAUUUUUUAUACCCAAGAUUUAUUUCCUUUGUUUCGACAUUCCUAUCCCGAAAUAAUGAAUUGAGUUCUUAUAGGCAUUUUGGACGCCGCUAUUGAAAUAGCCUUUCGAGCUAUAUUUUCAGCUACUCCACUCAUUUCAUAAAGUAUUCUACCCGGUUUAACGACGGCUACCCAAUAUUCGGGGAUCCUUUACCGGACCCCAUACGGGUUUCCGUGGGUCUUAGUGUAACGGGUUUGUCUGGAAAGAUACGUACCCAUAUUUUUCCACCGCGCCGUACAUUUCGUGUCAUUGCGCGGCGCCCCGCUUCGAUUUGUCUAGAUGUGAUCCAAGCGGGUUCAAGUGCUUGAAGAGCAUAUCUGCCGAAACAAAUAUGAUUACCUCGAUAAGAUAUCCCUUUCAUUCUUCCUCUAUGUUGUUUACGGAAUCUUGUUCUUUUGGGGUUAUAAUUGAUGGUUCUUUCUCAAUGCCAUCUCUACUACAGAACUGGACAUGAGAGUUUCUUCUCAUCCAGCUCCUCGCGAAUGAAAGGACUAAAAACGAUUUUAUCAAGAUAUAGGGGAAUUUAAUGAAUAAUAUACUGAAGCAUAGGAUUUUUUGAAAGUUCAUCUAAUUAAUCUAUUCUAAAUUUGUAUAUCAUGUUUAGAUAUAGAAUUGAAACAUUUAUGUUCUAUUUAUAGAUAAUCUCAAUGUCUUUUUUUUUUUUUUUAUCGUUAUAACAAAUCUUUAUUUUGUUUUGCCCUUUACCAUAUCGGAUCGAGCAAAAUGAAUCAAUCCAAUAAAAUCAAAAAAUAAACCUUUCGCGGGCGAAUAUUUACUCUUUCAAUAUCUAUUUCAGUUGUAGGGUUAGUUCAUGACCUCUACGAAUAAAAGAAUAGUUUAGUUCCUGGGUUCGUUUCGCCAUCCCACCCAAUAAAUCAUUAAGAUUCAUUUCCAAUAGAAUCUUCUUUUUCUUUAUUCACGGGUUCCGUCGUUCCCAUUGCUUCUCGAUUAAUGGUUAGGUCUGAAUUCUCCAACGGAGCCCUUAAUGAAAUUUUUUCUUAAGUCAAUUUUCUCAGUUUUUAUUGGCUCGGGGCUCUUGAUUUUUUUUGUUCUAUGAGCGGAUUCAUCUAGUUAGGGAUGAAUCAUUAUUGAUGCUAUAUUACACUGUUUUUUAUGAGAUGACUUACAGACCUUACAUAUUGGAAUCUUAUAUCAUUGAUAUUUUCUUUCUCUCUUUCUCUCAUCCUUCCAUUUAUCCGCAUGCUUUUCGAUUUUCUUUCACAACUUCGAACUUCACAACCUACAAUCAGAUUGGGUUUUUAUGUUAUGCAAAUUUCAGUUGCUACAACGAUAUGACCACUAUAUUAUAUCUUGACUGGUUCUUUGGAUUCAGAUAAUACGAAGCAAUGAGUUGGUUAUUAGUGCUAUAGUUAUUAGUUCAUACUACAGGACGGUCCAUUUUUUGGAAUCCUAGCCCUAAAAAAAACCAACGAGUCGCACACUAAGCAUAGCAAUUAUAUAAAAAAAAAAAAAUCAAUCGAAUUUUUAUUCAACCCUAUAGAAUUGCGGAAUUUCUCAUUUUUGUUUUUGAUUGAAGAUAAAAAGAGCUCGUUCUUUGUUUGGUUUAUUUCCAUUAAUGGGGGGGCUCUAAAGACCCGUAAACUCUUAUUUUUUUUCGUCUACAAAUAUCCAAAUUUUGAUUCCCAAUACCCCGUAGAUAGUUCGAACCGUAUAGGAACAAUAAUCAAUUUUAGCUCCAAUGGUUUGUAGAGGAACUCUACCUUCUCUGAUCCAUUCGGCGCGCGCAAUUUCUUUUCCGUCAAGACGCCCUGCAAUUUGUACUUGAAUUCCUUUUGUAUCGGCCUGUUCCGUUAAUUCAAUAGCUUUUUUCAUUGCUUUUCGAAAAGAAACUCUAUUUUUUAAUUGUCCGGCUAUAAAUUCGGCAAGAAUAUUGGGGUGUCCAUAAGGAUUGUAAUUCGUGUAAUAGCAAUGUUUAUUUUUCGAUUCACACAAUUAAGUUCUUUUGUACAUUCAUCUGUAAUUCUUCAAUUCUUCGCGGUCUAUUUUCUAGUAAUAAUUUUGGGAACCCUAUAUAGAUUAUAACUUGAAUUAGAUCAAUUCUUUUUUGAAUCUCUAUCCGUGCAAUUCCCUCAACACCGGAAGAUAUUCUGAUAUUUUUUUUUAUAUAAUUCUUAAUAAAGUUUCGUAUUUUUUGAUCUUCUUGUAGACCCUCGCAAUAGUUUUUUGGUUUUGCAAACCAAAGAGAAUGAUGACUUUGU